rnacentral:rRNA from 1 species
UACGUAGGGUGCGAGCGUUGUCCGGAAUUAUUGGGCGUAAAGGGCUCGUAGGCGGUUUGUCACGUCAGGAGUGAAAACUCGGGGCUCAACCCCGAGCCUGCUUCUGAUACGGGCAGACUAGAGGUAUGCAGGGGAGAACGGAAUUCCUGGUGUAGCGGUGAAAUGCGCAGAUAUCAGGAGGAACACCGGUGGCGAAGGCGGCUCUCUGGACCGAGACUGACGCUGAGGCGCGAAAGCGUGGGGAGCAAACAGG